GGAGAUGUAACUAAGUGGUACAGUAUUUGCCUACCAUGCUUAAGGACCUGGGUUCAAUCUCCAACACCACCA
rnacentral:tRNA from 1 species